rnacentral:misc_RNA from 1 species
ACCAUACCACAAUCUUCUGUUAGAGGAAUCACUGCAAAAGUACGGACAUAGAGUUUCCUUCGGCGGCUUUCAGGAUACUUUGAUAACAACCUGUUGAUCAUUGCAUUGAACUCCAUCAUACGAGCAUCUUUCCUAAGGUCAUCCUUGGGUUUGCAUCAUCCUUGGGUUUGCAGAGAAAUGGACGUUCAAUACCAUCACUACCCAACAGAACAAUUUUCUUGGGUCGUUGAAGAGAAGAAAGAAUCUCAGCCUCAUCAGAAAUUCCUGAAAUUGUUGGAAGAUCUGAGGCAGAAAAGAUAUCAGAGGUGAGAG